rnacentral:rRNA from 1 species
CCUACGGGGGGCUGCAGUGGGGAAUAUUGGACAAUGGGGGGAACCCUGAUCCAGCCAUGCCGCGUGUGUGAAGAAGGCCCUCGGGUUGUAAAGCACUUUCAGUGAGGAAGAACGCCUGGUGGUUAAUACCCAUCAGGAAAGACAUCACUCACAGAAGAAGCACCGGCUAACUCCGUGCCAGCAGCCGCGGUAAUACGGAGGGUGCGAGCGUUAAUCGGAAUUACUGGGCGUAAAGCGCGCGUAGGUGGCUUGAUAAGCCGGUUGUGAAAGCCCCGGGCUCAACCUGGGAACGGCAUCCGGAACUGUCAAGCUAGAGUGCAGGAGAGGAAGGUAGAAUUCCCGGUGUAGCGGUGAAAUGCGUAGAGAUCGGGAGGAAUACCAGUGGCGAAGGCGGCCUUCUGGACUGACACUGACACUGAGGUGCGAAAGCGUGGGUAGCAAACAGGAUUAGAUACCAUGGUAGUC